UUUUUCUCCAAAUGUAAUAUUUUCCGAUCCCAUUCUCCCUGUCUUGCUUUUGUGUGGCUUUGCCGCCUGUUAACACGUCACAGCUCCCCAUUUUGAGCCAUUUGGAGUCACGGACUCCGUGUCUCCUGAAUACACCUCCAGCUGAUGCUCUCUCUGUGGUGAACCUGUGUUUUUCUUUGCGAGGACACAGUCGCUUUGGAUGAGGGGCCACCUACUCCAUCAAAGCUUCAUCUGAACUGGCUCACUGACCAGGAAGGGUGAAGAGCGGCCAGUUUGCCGAAUUGCUGGCUCAAGAGCGCCCUCUUCUGUUGAUCUGAAAGAAUUCUGGCAUCUUCAAUACAAUUUUUUGGGGGCAGCCAUCUUUUGAUUUUACUCUAUUAGUUAUCACUUUUAAUGUUAAAAAAAACCUUCAUUGGCUGCUAAUAAUAUUUUAUUUCUUGAUCUGUGUGGUAAUUGCAAGGGUGUGCUCAUUUUGUGGAAAUUCAAUAUCUGCACACUUACUAUAUGUGUAAAUUAUUUACAUAUGAUGUUAUGCUUUAAUAAAAUGCUAAAUAU